rnacentral:lncRNA from 1 species
AGCCCAAUCACAAUGUAAUUUUUUGUUUCUGAAUGGACUUUUUCAAUUCUUUUAGGUUUCUUUUCUACUCUGAGUUAAGAUCAGCCCGAUUUGCAUUUGCACAUAUAGAACAAAUAUUCUAAAAAACUAUGUCUUUUUAUUAGAACUUCUUCCUUUUCUGAAUUUAUUAAUGUUUUCUGUAAAAUAGAAUAUAUGGAUAUGAUAGAAGUAGUGAUCAUAGCUAUAUUACCAAUUGGUUUUUUCUAGACAAAGUUUCAGUACUUGAUUUUCUUGGUCCAAUUAAGCCAACCAUAAAUUAUUCAA